UCUUUACGGAGAUAUUAUAAUAUUGUUAAGUGGAUAUGCAGAAUUAACAGCUAACCUUUUCUGUCCCGAAAAACAAUUAGAGCGGUUUUUAAAAAUGAACAAUUUGUUAAUAUUUUUGAAUCCUGAGUAGAACCACAGUAACCAACAACCACAUCGCGAAUCUUUAUCUGGUAGCCGCACACUACUUAUUAUUAUUUAAGAGAAUAUACAUAUAGCGUUCCGCCGAAUCUGGUCAGUACAUGUAUUGGUGCAAUAGCUUUAAGAAACAACUAAAAAUCUUACUUGAUAUUUUGGAAAUUUCAACGAUUAACAAAUGGCGUAGAAAUGUGCAUUCACAAUUGACAAGCUGUAACAAAUUUAACGAACAACGCAUACCACAUAACAAUACUGAGAGUUUUACACCUUAUUGUUAUUUCAGUGAAAGAAGCAAAGUUGUGAUCCAGGAAAAUUAAGCUUUUACGCUUCAAAAUUUCAAAACAAUGAAUUUUGACUAAUUGAUUAAUAGAAGAGUACAUACAUAUGUACAUACUUAUGUAUUACUGGGAACUGCUUAAGCCAAUAUGUUUUUAAGAUGUGUCGAAUUUUGGUGUUAUACAAAGAAUUAUGCAACCAAUAAAGCUCAAGGAUUGCUCUUGUCAACAGGUGCUACUUCGGACCGAGUAGGUAAUUGAAAAGUAAAGUCCUCUCUCGACGAACAAAAGCUAAACUCUAUAAGUCGCUCAUAAUUCUAUAUGGUGCAGAGGCUUGGGCGAUGACAGCAACCGAUGAGUCGACGUUACGACUUUUCGAGAGAAAAAAUUCUGCGAAAGAUUUAUGGUCCUUUGCGCAUUGGCCACGGCGAAUAUCGCAUUCGAUGGAACGAUGAGCUGUACGAGAUAUACGACGACAUUGACAUAGUUCAGCGAAUUAAAAGACAGCGGCUACGCUGGCUAGGUCAUGUUGUCCGGAUGGAUGAAAACACUCCAGCUCUGAAAGUAUUCGACGCAGUACCCGCCGGGCGAAGCAGAGGAAGAGGAAGACCUCCACUCCGUUGGAAGGACCAAGUGGAGAAGGACCUGGUUUCGCUUGGAAUAUCCAAAUGGCGCCACGUAGCGAAAAGAAGAAACGACUGGCGCGCUGUUGUUAACUCGGCUAUAAUCGCGUAAGCGGUGUCUACGCCAAUUAAGAAGAAGAAUUAGGAUACGAAGAAGCACCUCCACAUUUGUGGAAGGGUCUACUGCCACGGAGAAGGUGCUGCAUUCGCAGUUGUGCUUCCAGACAGGCGACGAUUUUCGAGUUUCCAAAUAAAGAAGAUGUUCGACAGAGUUGGGCAAAGGCUUGCAACUUAGUUGUGUCGCCUUCCGAUACCCUUUUUAUUUGCCGAAAUCAUUUUGACUCGCAGUUUGUCACUAAAUACAAACUUUUGCCUGGGGCUUUUCCAUGUUUACGAUUAGAGCCAGCACUAAGUCGUAGCUCAUCUAGUUCUGACUCUAAUUAGGUGUGCGCACCCAUCACUGCGACUUAUGAACGUCUUAAAGUAGCUGUAGGAGUAGAAGAGGACGACAUAACAUUGAAAGAGUUCGAACAAUAUUCCAUAUUAGAGGAAAGUAGGUUAAAAUAACGCUCUGCUUUAGACAGUCGCGAACGAUUUGCUCGAUCGGCACGGUAUUGCCAAAGUAAUACGCUUAGAUUAAAUAAAAAGAUCGAAGAGUUAGUGGGGGUGAUUAAAGAUUUAGACAAAAAUAUGAAGACCUAGAAACACGUGCAAUAGUUGCAGAUGUAACUUCAAGCUCUGACCCUAUAACAUUCGCUAGGAUGAUCGUUACCAAGCGCAAUGUUUAUAGAGACAAUGAAAGGACAUUGGCACAAAACAUUAAUUAUAUGUCCACCAAAUCAUAUAGUUUCAUGCGUGACAAUUUAGAUUUUGCUUUACCAAGCAAGAGUUCUCUUUUGCGUUGGCGCCCAAUUAGGUAUGUUGUCCCUGGUAUCGAUGCCAAUGUCUUGGGAAAUUUAGAAAAAAUUUCCAAAAAAAUGUCCGUUUUAGAACGGAAUUGCGUUUUGUUAUUUGAUGAAAUCUCAAUAAAGUCCGACCUAACUUAUAAUAGAGUUAGGGAUGUUAUUGAUGGGUUUGUGGAUCAUGGGGAUGGCCAACGUGAUAUGAUUAUAGGUAGUAAGUGUUGUUUUUUUAUGGUAAAAGGGUUAUGUUCCAAUUGGAAAUAUGUAUUUUCAUACUACAUUUCCAAGACGGGACUUGCUCCAUCAGAAAUGAAAGAAAUUUUGAGCAAAAACAUCCCAUCACUAAAGUCAAUAGAUCUCAACUUAAAGGCUUUAGUCUGCGAUCAAGGGCCUUAAAAUUCUUGACUUUUCAAUUUGUUAAAAAUUACAGAAGAAACCCCCUUUUAUAUGCACGAAGGUUUAAAAAUAUAUUGUUUAUAUGACUAUUACCACCUUAUUAAGUCCAUCCGUAACACAUUUAUGAAAUAUGAUAUUUCAACUCUAAAUGGCAUAGCCAGCUUCAAAGUUAUAAAAAAACUUUACUCUAUCGAUCAGAGCAAUAUGCAUUUUAAAAUAUGCCCAAAACUUACAGAGGCCCCACGUUUAACGUGCAACUCACGUUGUGAGCAAUUCGGUCGCUGCUGGCAUUGAAAUGGCAUAUAGCCAUAUCAAGCUUCCAGUCUCUAGUCAGGUUAAGUGUAUUAGUGGGUUUUGUUUCACAAUAAGUGGAAUGAUUCAGUUGAGCGAAGAGCUAUUUAGGGAUAAAGAGGAAUUGAGGUAUAUAUUCCUUGGGAAAAUUAAUCACGAUGCGUUGAAGAAUUUUUUUUUUAGAGUCCGAGCUAUCCUAGGCCCCGAAGAUCGCCAUCUAGAUGUACAGGGAAACGAAGAGGAAUCUGAGCAACUCGACCUGGAAUCCUUCACUAUUCCAGACGAAAAUUUUGUUGAAGAGGAAGACAAAGCUGACGUCCAGAUCAAGCGGUAUUACACUGGCUAUGGUAUUUACCAAAAAAUUUUGUGUAAAAUCCAUUGCGAAAAAUGCACCAAAGCAAUGACGAAGACACAAAGCGAUUUAACGCUGUAUUCGGCAGCCCAAAUCAGAGCUAAAAACCAUAAGGAUGACGGCUACUUAAGGCUAGUCAAUCCUAGUGAUAGGGUCUUCGAAGUGUGUCGACUGCAGAUGAUGUGGUACGUCAAGCUCUUUAGCAAAUUUGCUCACUAUGUAAAUGUUCGUAGUCUGAUGUUGUAUGCCAUAAAACAAAAAACGGAAAGUGCUUUUCCUCAAUGGUUUGAUACAACCAAUACAUGUUUCGCCCAUAAAAUUAAACUAUUAGAGUAUUUACUGACUGUUCUGUUAUAUAAAAAUUCCAAAUGGUUUGAAAAGCAAGAAAUAAAUAGGGAACGACAUAGGAAGCGCGAUGCUAAAAUAAAAAAACUUAAGUAAGUUGCAAGCCAGAAUGCUUUGAUUAAGAGCAUCUUACUUUCGGGUUUUUUCUACUUUCAGUUUUCUUUUAUUAUUAUAUUUUCAGGAUUAUUUUUUUUCUUUUUCAAUAGCAUGCCAACUGAGCCUAGCUUUUUUAAACACAAAUAUUGCACUUAAUGUAGAUGGAUUAAAUUGUGUUAAAAGAAGCAGGUGAAAUUAAAUGACUAAUUUUAAUCAAUAAGUCGAGAAAUUUCCAUUUUUGAAAUGGACAAUUUUGUAAUUCGCAUUAUUUAACUUUUUUUGAACAUUUUAUUAAAAUUUUGAAAUUGUUAAGUUUCCAAUAAAUAAUAGAAAAAAUCAAUGAAAUCAACAUAUUGCAUUUGAAA